rnacentral:rRNA from 1 species
UACGAAGGGGCUAGCGUUGCUCGGAAUCACUGGGCGUAAAGGGUGCGUAGGCGGGUCUUUUAAGUCAGGGGUGAAAUCCUGGAGCUCAACUCCAGAACUGCCUUUGAUACUGAAGAUCUUGAGUUCGGGAGAGGUGAGUGGAACUGCGAGUGUAGAGGUGAAAUUCGUAGAUAUUCGCAAGAACACCAGUGGCGAAGGCGGCUCACUGGCCCGAUACUGACGCUGAGGCACGAAAGCGUGGGAGCAACAGG